AUACGUAGGUGGCGAGCGUUAUCCGGAUUUACUGGGUGUAAAGGGCGCGUAGGCGGGAAUGCAAGUCAGGUGUGUAAUCUACAGGCUCAACCUGUAAACUGCACUUGAAACUGCGUUUCUUGAGUGUCGGAGAGGUUGACGGAAUUCCUAGUGUAGCGGUGAAAUGCGUAGAUAUUAGGAGGAACACCAGUGGCGAAGGCGGUCUACGGGCUGAAAACGGACGCUGAGGCGCGAAAGCGUGGGGAGAAAACAGGAUUUGAUACCCGGGUAGCCCACGCCGUAAACGAUGAAUCCUAGGUGUGGGGGGACUGACCCCUUCCGUGCCGCAGUUAACACAAUAAGUAUUCCACCUGGGGAGUACGGCCGCAAGGUUGAAACUCAAAUGAAUUGACGGGG
rnacentral:rRNA from 1 species